rnacentral:misc_RNA from 1 species
UCCGAGUUGACCCCGGCAGUCUCCCACGAGUCCCCGGCAUAACCCGCUGGCAACAUGGGAUAAGGGUUGCGCUCGUUGCGGGACUUAACCCAACAUCUCACGACACGAGCUGACGACAGCCAUGCACCACCUGUGAGAGUGCCCCGAAGGGAGACCGUGUUUCCACGGCUGUCACUCACAUGUCAAGCCCAGGUAAGGUUCUUCGCGUUGCGUCGAAUUAAACCACAUGCUCCGCUGCUUGUGCGGGUCCCCGUCAAUUCCUUUGAGUUUUAGCCUUGCGGCCGUACUCCCCAGGCGGGGCACUUAAUGCGUUAGCGCCGGCACUCGGGGGGUCGCUCCCCCAAGCACCUAGUGCCCAUCGUUUACGGCUAGGACUAC